GACUGCCUUCAAUAAAGUCAUGGGGGAUUGCAUGGUCAAAGCAGGCACUUACUUCGACGUAUACCCGGUUUUCAAGGAGAAGUACAAUAUUGUAUUCAAAGACAUACUGACUAGAUUUAACAACUGCUACAAUUGGUCACCUGACGUGAGGUACAUCUUGUUCGCCAUGAGAUGGCUCCGAGACAUGAUGUCUGGGUGAAUUCCACAUCCUGCAAGACGGAUCUGCAUUGCUGCAAAUAAAC